ACCAUCUGAGCCACCAGGGAAGCCCUGAGUUCGUAAGCCACCACUGAAAAGAAACCAGAGUGUCCUCCGAGGGGCAGGUCCACUCAGUACUUCCUGGAUGCUUAGUGAGACCCUGGGCCCGGAAGGAGCUGCACGCUGAUGUGGGGGCGGGUAACUGGGCCGCUGGCGCCCCCUGGAGGUGCUGCGGCCUCAUGUCCACCGGCAUACAGUUGUCUGGGAAAUGGGCCUUUCCCCACGAAUCUUCCUUCAUCCAGUAGAUAGCGUCUUGACAACAUGAUGAUAAAAACCUGGCAAAGAAAACAGUUAACUUUGCAGUUCCCAUAAGUUCUCCUAGAGGAUGCCAAUGGGCUACAUUGGAUGGAAGAUGAAGGCAGAAAAAGUCCUUUCUGGGACAGUUUCAGGGCCUCGAGAUGAUGUUUCCUGGAUAAUUGGAGCUGACCCUGAAUCCAAUGGCGGCAGUCAUUAUAAGAGAAAGGCUGAAGGAAAAUUCGGCUCAGACAGAAGAGGGGAUACAGGGAGGAGAGUCCACGUGAGGAUGGAAGCAGAGACUGGAGGAUCCGGCCACAAGCCCAUGAACACCUGGAGCCACGGAAGCUGGAAGAGGCGAGGAGGGAGUCUCCCCUGGACCCUCCCUGGACAGAGCACCCCUCAAUCUUUGGACUGUUGGGCCCCAGAACUGUGAGCAAAUAAAUUUCUACUAUUUCAAGCCAUCAACUUGUAGUAAUAAGUUAAAACAAUCCUAGAAGACAAAUAUAGU